UACGAAGGGUGCGAGCGUUAUUCGGAAUCACUGGGCGUAAAGGGUGCGUAGACGGUUUGUUAAGUUUGUCGUUAAAGACUCUAGCCUAACUGGAGGGUUGCGAUGAAAACUGGCAAGCUGGAGGGUGAGAGAGAGAAGUGGAAUUCCUGGAGUAGCGGUAAAAAUGCGUGGAUCUCAGGAGGAACACCAAUGGCGAAGGCAGCUUCUUGGCUCAUUCCUGACGUUGAGGCACGAAAGCGUGGGGAGCGAACAGG
rnacentral:rRNA from 1 species